rnacentral:lncRNA from 1 species
CCUAAAUGUGAGACAAUUGUGAAAAGUGGAGGACAGAGCCACCUGGUUAAAUACAGCCCCAGCUUUCUGGUGAGAGGACUGAAACCAAGAUGUGUCAAGUAACUAGAAUGUGCCUGGACAGAUACUGUAGAAAGCAAAACCAUAAAGUUGUUCAUGAGCUUGUGGACGCACCUGCCAGCUGUGAAUAAGUGGCUCUAAUCCCGAACAACUUACCUAAAAAGAGCCUGAGAGCUGAACUGUGCAAUGGCCCACUUUCCAGUCCUCACUGACCACUGGGUUGCACACACUUUGGAGAUCUCUGAACAGCAGUGUCAAGGCUUUCAAAUAGAGUUAUCUUUGAAACGACAACACAUGAAAGUCUGGUUGGUACUUGGAGCUUAAAUACAAGGCAAUUGUGUGCCUGCAAAAACAAAAAUAGCAAUAUUAUCCUUAAGAUUUCAACAAGACACAGUGUCUCAUCACAUAAUCCAAAGAAGUCCAGGUUACAAGCCCCACAAUAUUCAGCAUUAUGAAAAAACAGGGAGAUCUUAAUUCACAUGGCAAAGAGAAUCCUCGAAUAACAAUAUUGAGAGGACACAGAUGUCAAAAUCAUCUGACACAUACAUUAAAGCAGAUAUUAUAACAAUGCUCCUAGAAUCGGGGAUAACAUUCGUGAAGUGAAUGGAAAGUUGGAAAGUCUCACCAAAUAUUUCGAAUACAUAAACACCAAUUUAAACUUAAGAAUUAAAAAAAUGUAUUAACCAAAACUCUUAGGGGAAAUAAAAAGCUUAAUUGGAGGAUCUCCAUAAUCGAAUGCAGAAGACUAAGGAAAAAGUCAAUGAACUUGAAAACAGAACACGAAUACCUACAUAAUCUGAACUAUAGAGAGAAAGGAGGAUUUUAUUGUCUCUGAACAGAGGCUCAGGCACAAAUAAAAAAUAACAAAUCCAACAUUCACAUUAUUGUAAUCUGGAAAGAAGAGGACAAAGUGGUCUUUGUGGGAUAAAACUUUGAACAAUUAAUAGCUGAAAAUGGUUCAAAUUUGUCAAAAGAUAUAAACCAGAUUUUUAAAGUUCAGUAAAUGUCAAUCAGGAUAAACCCAAAGAAACCCAUAGCAAGGCAUAUCAUAAUCAAACUGCUGAAAACUAAGAAAAUACAAAACAAUUUUGAAAGCAGCCAAAGGGAAAUGAAAGAGAAACUACCAAAUGAAUGAUUGUAGAUUUCGCAUCAGGAACCAUAGGGGCCAGAAAAAAUGUCAUAACAUUCGGUAAGUAACAAAAGAAAAAGACAUAUCGACCCAGAAUGCUAUGUGGAGCAAAAGUAUCUUCCAGACAUAAAGGCAAAUAAAUGCAUUCUCAGUGGAAGGUAAGUAAAUACAUUCUCAUUCUUAGGAAGACUGCUGGAAAAGAAUUAGCAAAGAUUUGAGAUAAGAAAAAUGAUACCAGAAGGAAACUUAGAACAUCAUCAGUGAAGGAACAAAAGCAGAAAUAGAACAUGUCUGGGUAGACAUAACAGACUAUUAUUCUUCCCUUGAGUUCCUUAAGGAGACUACGGAAAAGAAGAGUGACUAAGAUCUCUGAAGAAGGGAAAAGCUAGAUGACUGGGCCACAAGAGAAAAAAAGCAGCAAGACAGAGAUUUGUUGGUGCCAACUAAAUGAGCCCAACAGCCAGUGACAACAGAACUGCACUAAAAAAAGUCCCUCAUCAGCUCUUGAGAGCAGGUUCCUUAAAGAGAAUGAGUAGCCACUGCACCUUGCCCUGGGCCAUCAGUGAGAAGAUCUGCUCUUAGUAGAGCCCUGCUUUCCCGCUGAAGGCCCUGAAAUCCCCUGUGUUCCAGGCCACCCACUAAGGAUCAAUAAAGCUCCCCUGAUGUGGGGGAAUUAGCUCAAGUGGUAGAGCGCUUGCUUAGCAUGCAAGAGGUAGUGGGAUCGAUGCCCACAUUCUCCAAACUUUAUUAUUUAGACCCUGGGUCUCCAAACACUCAGGUCUCCAAACCCAAGUCAGAGAACAGGAUGCUGCUUUGGUUCAAGAUGUAGGAGCAGCAACAAUACAGGGCUGGUGACGGCUCCCUCCUGGCAUUCAGUAUAGUGUAGAUCUACCGUGUAAUUAAUUUUCUGCUUCUUUGAGGAGCUGUGAAACCAAGGGACAUAAACAAUUGCUCUUUUCUCCCUGUUUCUGCCUGUAGCUUGAAUGUGAGGCAACUGUGAAAAGUGCAGGGCAGAGCCACCUGGGUAAAUACAGCCCUGGCUUUCUGGUGAGAGGACUGAAACCAGGAUGUGUCAAGUAACUAGAAUGUGCCUGGACAGAUACUGUAGAAAGCAAACCCAUAAAGUUGUUCAUGAGCUUGUGGACGCACCUGCCAGCUGUGAAUAAGUGGGUCUAAUCCCAAACAACUUACCUAAAAAGAGCCUGAGGACUGAACUAAACAAUGGUCCGCUUUCCAGUCCUCACUGACCACUGGUUGCACACACUCCAGAGAUCUCUCAUCCGCAGUGUCAAGGCUUUCAAAUAGAGUUAUCUGUGAAACAACAACACAUGGAAGUCUGGUUGGUACUUGGAGCUUAAAUACAAGGCAAUUGUGUGCCUGCAAAAACAAAAAGAGCAAUAUUAUCCUUAAGAUUUCAACAAGACACAGUGUCUCAUCACAUAAUCCAAAGAAGUCCAGGUUACAAGCCCCAAAAUAUUCAGCAUUAUGAAAAACCAGGGAGAUCUUAAUUCACAUGGCAAAGAGAAUCCUUGCAUAACAAUAUUGAGAGGACACAUAUGUCAAAAUCAUCUGACACAUACAUUAAAGCAGUUAUUAUAACAAUGCUCCUAGAAUUACGGGAUAGCAUUCAUGAAGUGAAUGGAAAGUUGGAAAGUCUCACCAAAUAUUUGGAAUAUGUAAACACCAAUUUAAACUUAAGAAUUAAAAAAAGUAUUAACCAAAACUAUUAGGGGAAAUAAAAAGCUUAAUUGGAUGAUCUCAAUAGCAGUAUGCAGAAGACUAAGGAAAAAGUCAAUGAACUUGAAAACGGAACAAGAAUACCUACAGAAUCUGACCUAUAGAAAGAAAGGAGGAUUUUAUUGUCCCUGAACAGAGGCUCAGGGACAAAUAAAAAAUAACAAAUCUAACAUUCACAUUAUUGUAAUCUGGAAACAUUCACAUUAUUGUAAGAGGACAAAGAGGUCUUUGUGGGAUAAAACUGUGAAGAAUUAAUGGCUGAAAAUGUAUCAAAUUUCUCAAAAGAUAUAAACCAGAUUUUUAAAGUUCAGUAAAUGUCAAGCAGGAUAAACCAAAAGAAACCCAUUGCAAGACAUAUCAUAAUCAAACUGCGGAAAAUUAAGAAAACACAAAACAAUUUUGAAAGCAGCCAAAGGGAAAUGAAAGAUAAAAUACCAAAUGAAUGAUUGUAGAUUUCUCAUCGGGAACCCAGGAGCCAGAAAAAAAUGUCAUAACAUUCAGUAAAUACCAAAGGAAAAAUACAUUAUCAACCCAGAAUGGUAUGUGGAGCAAAAGUAUCUUCCAGACAUAAAGGCAAAUAAAUGCAUUCUCAUUGGAAGGUAAAUAAAUACAUUCUCAGUCCUAGCAAAACUGCUGGAAAAGAAUUAGCAAAGGUUUGAGAUAAGAAAAGUGAUACCAGAAGGAAACUUAGAACAUCAUCAAUGAAGGAACAAAAGCAGAAAUAGAAAAUGUCUGGGUAGACAUAACAGACUAUUAUUCUUCUCUUGAGUUCCUUAAGGUAUGUUUGAUGGUUGAAAGCAAAAAUUGUAACUUUAUCUGAUGCAGUUGUCAUUGUAUCUAGAUGUACUACAUACAUAAGAUAAAAGGGUAAAUGUAAUGGGACUAACUCUUGAUGAAGUUUCUAUAUUCAACUUGAAUGGUAAAAUAUUGAUUCUUAGUAUACUGUGAAAAGUUAUAUAUGUAUAUGGUAAUCCCUAGACCACUUAACAACCAGAUUGAAAUAAACCAAAACAAGAUAGACAGAGGAACAUAGAAGAAUUAAAACAAAGGGAAAAAAGGUUAAUAAAUUAUUAAAUAGUAGAUCUAUCUAAAAACUUAUCUAUAAUAACAUUAUAUGUAAAUUAUCUAAAUGCAUUAAGUAAAAACUAGAGAUCAUCAGAAUGUGUUAAAAAUAAAUAUGCUGACUAAAGAAAGCCACCUGCAAUACACUUAUAAAUAAGAAUAAAAGUUAUAGAGCAGAUUGAAAGAAAAGAGUGGGAAAAGAUACCUCAUGCAAGCAUUAAUCAAAGACAGCUGUGGUGUAUAUAUAUAAAAUCAGACAAAGUAGAUUUGAAAGCAGAGAAACUUUUCAGGAAUAAUGAGGCCUCCUAAAUAAUUAUGAUUGUCAAUUUUUCAGGAGAAUAUUGUCCCAAAUGUAUAUGAGGACACAGAGCUUCAAAACUCAUAAACAAAAUUGGAUACGCCAAGUAAAAAUAGAAAAAUCCAGUUAUAGUUGCAGUCAUUAACACUCCUCUCUGAGUAAUUGGAAGAUUUAGUGGAACACAAAUCAACAGACAUACUGGAGAAUUGAACCAUGCCAUCCAGUAAUGGACCUAUCAAUUUCAUAAUGCAAAAUAAAAAUUCAGGUAGAAAGCAAAGACAAAAAUUAAAAGAAAAGCAAGAUCAUGUUAUAAUGAGAAAAUUAAGAGUAGUCCAGUGUAUAGAAGGGUGCUAUUAUUGAAAGAGUUUGAAAUAGUGACUUAGUUAUUUUGAAACAUUUUUGAAGACGUUAUUUAGCUGGAAAUGACAGAAAGACUGAAAAUGGUGAAUGUGGAGGUGGAUCUUCCCUUGUCCAUAUUUAUCUUGUCUUCGUUUGAGGUCUGGGGUGUCUAUACUUCCUCUGAAUUACCUGAUCUUACUACAGUGUCUGGCACAGAGCAUCUCCCCAGUGAAUAUGUACUAAAUGAGUAGAAAGUAAUUGAUAGAUUCAAAAGAGUUGUGCAAGAAUAAUGUUCAUUAUUUGACUAAUCACUGAAUGUGGUGUUUCAAGGAAGACAAUGAAUCAAAGUUGACUUGAAAGGUAAGCCCAGGGCCAGACGUGGUGGCUCAUUUCUGUAAUCCCAGCACUUUGGGAGGCCGAGAUCAGUGGAUCCCUUGACACCAGGAG